rnacentral:misc_RNA from 1 species
GAUUGAAUAUAGCUCCACAUAACUUGCAUAACCAAUGCUGCAGUACUCCAGGAUCUGUAACUUGCUGAUUUUUGAAUUGCAUAUACAGAUUCUUGCUCAGAUUUUUAGACCAAACAAUGAGCAUCUCAUAUAAUUUUGCAUCAUGUAUUUUCGGAAAUUGCCAUGCCUUUGGGAACCGAGACAUCAGGGGAUUACUUUUAUUGUCGAGCUGUAAAUUUGUAGUAAUUACGUAUCCGCACAGCGACUCAUUAAGGUCUUCAAGCUCCAGUCCUUUAACAGACAACAACUUGCCGAUUGAUGUACCAAAAACACUAUCAAAUCCUUGUAUGAAAAAUGAUACUUGCUCAGAGAUAGAUGCGACAAAACGGUGUUGAAUUAGAUGAUCAACAUAAGCCUCCCUGCUACUUUUGCUAUUCACAUAGCGCAGUUCUGUGCUCCAUUGGCACCCCAACAAAGCUUCAGGGAAUUCUAGAACUUCAGAAUCAAUGAACUCACCAUCUAUGAUC